CCGCGCAUGCGCGCUUGCGGGCAGACCCCGCUUCUCUUCCGGCCACCGUGGGUAGCGGGGAGGGAAGCGAGCCAGGGCACCCAGAUCCUGCCCCGGACGGGUGGGAACUGUGGCCGUGUUCCCGGGCCCACUUUAGCUCAAGCUGCCAGACGGGACCCCAGGCGUCCUCAGCGGACACGGGUCCUUCGGCCCCAGGAAGCAGGCUGUCUGAGCGGCUCCGUCCUCCACGUCCUCCUCGGAGAGGACGGCCUGCGGGUGGGGUGUGACUUCUCUGCACACCCCCCUGCUUCUCAUUACCUCCCUACACACAGAGAAGGCAGGAAGCUCCCCUCUAAGACCAGCAUCAUGGUUUUCUCGGCUCUCUGGCUGCUGAGGGCUUGGAGUGAGAUGCGAUGAAUGUCUCUUCGCUGGUUGUCUGGGGACAGUGGCAUUGUUACCUGACCGCAGGGAUGGGAUUGGAAUAGUUCCUCUUAAACGGCCACACUCCCAAAGGUUCAAGGCUCCUUCCCAGGAAGGCUGUGGAGGUCCGGCCUCUGAGACCCACGGAUGAGGAAGUUGCCGCGCCAAGCGGCCUCUGUAUCAGAAGCCAGUCAGCAAGCUGCCGGGACAGCCCUGCUGCACCAUGUGCUCGCUCUGUGCCCUUAACUCGUUGUCACCCCAUGCCUCUGCUGUGCCUGGAACUCUUGGGGGAUGCGGCGAACCCUUGCCCUCCCCGAGCUCACCUUCUGCCAGGUUAGACGUCACCUGUGUGUUCCAGACUGCGGGGCCUCGGCCAGUGGGUAAAAGUCAUAGGGAGGUGGGUUUGGGUUGGAUUCUAGGAAGACCUUUCUAACUCUUCAAGUGCCAUCCGAACAGAAUGGGCUGCCUUGUGGGCUGGUGAGCACCCUGGCUCUGAAGACGUCCUGACAGAGAUGCAGGGCAUGCAGGAUGCAGUGAAGAGGCUCUAAAUGGAUGCCCAUGAUUUCGUGUGAGUGUGGGCAGGACCCACGUGACUCUAUAUCCCAACCAAGAGAAUCCAGCAGCGAUGAUAGGAUGUCACCUCCGUGGUUACAGGAUAUAAAGUUGCGUCAUCUAUCUCACUGAAGGGCUCUCUCUUUUGCUGACUCUGAUGGAGCUAGGGGCCAUGUUGGGGAGGCGGACGUGGCAGGAGCUGCAACAGCCUUGGGCCAACAACCAGCUGGGAAGUGAAGGUGACCUCUGGCCAAGAGCCAGCGAGAAAUUGAGGCCAUCAGUCCACCAGGACAGACGUCACCGAAUUCUGCCAACAACCCAGGGAGUAUGGAAGCAGACCCUUCCCCACUUGAGCCUCAGAUGAGACCACAGCCCCGACUUUCAUUGCAGCUUUCAGAUGAGACAGAAGCCGAGGACCCAGCCAAGACCCACUGGACUCUUGAGCCGCAGAGGUGGGAGAUAGAAGUGACUGGUUUCUUAAGCUGCCAAGUCAUGGUGCUGUCGUGAAGCAGUAACAGUAAACUGCUUAGCUCAGUUUCUUGCAUAAAAUAGUCUUGAUGCAUAUUCGUUAAGUGAUCUGCUGCCUUAGCACUGGCUUAUGCAGCAGAGAAACAGGAGGCCUGGCCUAUGAGGAAGAGGUAUCUGAGCAGCCCUGGGAUGAGACCAGAAGCCUGGAACGUCCAGCUAGGCUUGGACCUUGGGCAAGGCUGUCUGCCCUUUGCACACCUUAUCGAUAAAACCUCGGACUCAGCUACUCACGGGUUUGUGCAGGUCGAAUGAGCUAAUGCGACCGCCUGUUAAGAGGCCCACGGAGAACAGUUCCAUCACCCCAGAGAGAAACCCCGGAGGCAUGAGCAGCCUCUCCUCAUCCCCCACCCCAGCCCCAGCCCCUGCAAACUCGGAUCUGCUUUCUGUCUCCACGGAGCUGCCUGUUCUGAACAUUUCACAUAAAUGGAAUCGUACAGCGUGUGACCUUCUGUGUCUGGCUCCUUUCACUCAGCGUGAUACAACCCCUUCGUCUCUCAGGCGGGCGGGAGGGCCCCGUCCCAGCUCACACAGCGGGGAAGGACAGGCUUCCCACGAGUCAGAGGACGCCGAGCCAGGAUGGGCAGCCCCCAGGUGGAAAGGAAGGUGGCGACUGAGUCCAUCACCUGUCAUCUAGAACCUGAGAGCGGGAUGCACGCUGACAAAGCCCACGCCGCGGCUGAAUUCAAACGUCUGGUUCAAGGAGUACGGAUUGGGCGCCUGCUGGAUGCACAGCCCCUUUCCCAGACCAUCCAGCCUGGCUGGUCUGGAGCACAGUCUUUGAUGGAAGCGAGGUUUGAGUCUGGAGGCACGUUUCCCGCUGAAGGAAGCUGCCUCCUUUGGGUGUCUCCCUCCUGCCGCCGGUGCAGCCCAGGGACAGCCAGGCACCUGCGUGGAAAGGUGAGGUGCCUCCCACUUUGGAGAAGGCAGUGAUGGAGUGGCCUCCCGUGCCGGAGGCCAGGGUGGAGGGUGCGGUGCUGAAGUGUGCUUGUCAGCAGGUCCAAGAGGGGACAGAGGAAGGCCAGGCUGGGCUCAUGUGUGUCCUUAAGCCCCCUCGUCUCCCGGGGUGACCCUGUGAGCCAUCCUGAGUUAGCUGCUUCGCGCCACUGAAACACCCACCUUCCUCUGGAGAGAUGAUUCCACGCCACUCAAGGACCCCACCUAUGUGACAAUCACUGAUUAAAAUGCCUCUGCCUGCUC